GGCUCAGGAUGAACGCUAGCUACAGGCUUAACACAUGCAAGUCGAGGGGCAGCAUAACGAAAGCUUGCUUUGUUGAUGGCGACCGGCGCACGGGUGAGUAACGCGUAUCCAACCUUCCCCAUAGUAGAGGAUAGCCCGGCGAAAGUCGGAUUAAUACUCUAUGUUGUAUUUUGAGGACAUCUGACGAAUACCAAAGAUUGAUCGCUAUGGGAUGGGGAUGCGUCUGAUUAGCUUGUUGGCGGGGUAACGGCCCACCAAGGCGACGAUCAGUAGGGGUUCUGAGAGGAAGGUCCCCCACAUUGGUACUGAGACACGGACCAAACUCCUACGGGAGGCAGCAGUGAGGAAUAUUGGUCAAUGGACGAGAGUCUGAACCAGCCAAGUAGCGUGCAAGGAAGACUGCCCUAUGGGUUGUAAACUGCUUUUAUGCGGGAAUAAAGUCAGGUACGUGUACCUGUUUGUAUGUACCGCAUGAAUAAGGACCGGCUAAUUCCGUGCCAGCAGCCGC
rnacentral:rRNA from 1 species